UUGAACGCUGGCGGCAUGCUUUACACAUGCAAGUCGAACGGUAACAGGCCUUCGGGUGCUGACGAGUGGCGAACGGGUGAGUAAUGCAUCGGAACGUGCCCAAUCGUGGGGGAUAACGUAGCGAAAGUUACGCUAAUACCGCAUACGCCCUGAGGGGGAAAGCAGGGGAUCUUCGGACCUUGUGCGAAUGGAGCGGCCGAUGUCAGAUUAGCUAGUUGGUGGGGUAAAGGCCCACCAAGGCGACGAUCUGUAGCGGGUCUGAGAGGAUGAUCCGCCACACUGGGACUGAGACACGGCCCAGACUCCUACGGGAGGCAGCAGUGGGGAAUUUUGGACAAUGGGGGCAACCCUGAUCCAGCCAUUCCGCGUGAGUGAAGAAGGCCUUCGGGUUGUAAAGCUCUUUCAGCAGGAGCGAAACGGUCGUUUUUAAUACAGACGGCUAAUGACGGUACCUGCAGAAGAAGCACCGGCUAACUACGU
rnacentral:rRNA from 1 species